AUCCAAGGUGAUUCCCUCUCCAAGGGGCCAGCUAGUGCCUCUCUCAGGAAAGUAGCAACUUGGAAUAAAAUCUGGCAUGCCCAAGGUCUUCCGGGGAGAAGGGGAUGUCUUUCCUUUUGCCUUCUUUGGCUGCCUACAUAG